CUGACUGUAUUGGGGCCUGGGCAAUAUGUUUGGUCUCUGACUGGAUAUCACCUUGGUCGAGAGGGCGUGCUCCGCAUGUUUAUGAUGCGGACAUCCCCCCGUUACUCCGUACAAGUAGAUUAAAUUACUUUGUCUGCUUCUGGUGAUUUGGAAGUGGUCUCUCUAUUGGAAGGUUAUGAGAAGUGGUUCUAGGACUUGUCUCCCGAAAACACUAUUAUACGGGCCGAGCCGCCGAAACAGACGGCAUAUUUGUAUUUUCGGGAGGCCGAGGAUUUUGCCA